UACGUAGGGGCCUAGCGUUGUCCGGAAUUAUUGGGCGUAAAGAGCUCGUAGGCGGUUCGGCAAGUCGGAUGUGAAAUCUCCACGCUUAACGUGGAGGGGCCAUUCGAAACUGCUGUGACUCGAGUCCGGUAGGGGAGUGUGGAAUUCCCGGUGUAGCGGUGAAAUGCGUUGAUAUCGGAAGGAACGCCGGUGGCGAAAGCGCACAACUGGUCCUCUUCUGACGCUGAGGCGCGAAAGCCAGGGGAGCAAACGGG
rnacentral:rRNA from 1 species